UACGUAGGGGGCGAGCGUUAUCCGGAAUUAUUGGGCGUAAAGAGCAUGUAGGCGGUCCGGUAAGUCGGAUGUGAAAUCUCAGGGCUCAACCCUGAAACUGCAUCCGAUACUGUCGGACUUGAGGUAGGUAGAGGAAAGUGGAAUUUCCGGUGUAGCGGUGGAAUGCGCAGAUAUCGGAAGGAACACCGAUGGCGAAGGCAGCUUUCUGGGCCUUACCUGACGCUGAGAUGCGAAAGCAUGGGUAGCAAACAGG
rnacentral:misc_RNA from 1 species